GACCGCCUCGUAAUUGAUACAGAGGAGGAGCUCAUUCCCAUUGAUUCGGGGGAAGAGGAGCCAGAUUAUAUAAUUAUUGACAGUGAGGAUGAAAAACCCUCUCCCCAACUUGGCCCUACACUGUCACAGGCGGUGGCGGAGGAGGAGGAGGAGGACCAGGACUCUCUGUCCCUCACCACACUGCACCCAUUAAGCCCUACACUGGAACAGGCCACGGAGGAGGAGGAGGAUGAUGAUGAUGCUGCUGCAUUUAGUGACGACGAGCCAGAAUACAUUUUUGUCCGUCGCCAACCAGUGGAGGAGACACCUG